GUAUAGACUGUUUGUAAGUCGCUCUGGAUAAGAGCGUCUGCUAAAUGAUGUAAA
rfam:Salmo salar isolate Sally breed double haploid chromosome ssa05, whole genome shotgun sequence.